GCUGAAGGCAGAGAGGGAGACCUUGACAAGCAUCCAGGGGAGGGGCGUGCUCAACUCACAUGGACCGAGGAGAUAUUGCUGGAGAGGGGUGAGCUGCCCGAGAGGCAAUUCAGUCCGGUCUGCGUGGUUGGGAACCACUCGGCUGUGGAAGAAAGGAUGAAGUGAAGGAUGAUGAAGGAAGUGGAGCUCAGAGAGGCCAAGCAAGUCACCCAUGCUCACACAGUUGAAAAGCACCAGAGUUUCUAUCCAGAGGGCCAGCGAAUCCUUUGCUGUACCAAAGCCAAGGAAAUAAAUAAGCUCUUUCUCCCUUCUCCUGCUUAAGAACAGCAAAGAAUACAGAGACCCCUGCAGCCUGGGGCACUGCUGAUGGAUUUGACCACAAUCAUUGGCUCAACGGCACUUCAAAAUCCAUUUUCUGCCUGUCUCUCGUCUGUCUCUCACUGUCUGCCUCUUUAUCUGGCUUCCAAAUGAACUCUGAUAGUUUCCUCCCAGGAGAAGAUUUGCUUGGGCUUCCUGGAAAACGGAGAAAACCUUAGGAAAGAGGGAAGUGAGGAGGGGUUUGGCAGUGACAAGUGAGCAGGGCAGGGCAGG